GAUGAACGCUGGCGGCGUGCCUAAUACAUGCAAGUCGAGCGAACAGACGAGGAGCUUGCUCCUCUGACGUUAGCGGCGGACGGGUGAGUAACACGUGGAUAACCUACCUAUAAGACUGGGAUAACUUCGGGAAACCGGAGCUAAUACCGGAUAAUAUAUUGAACCGCAUGGUUCAAUAGUGAAAGACGGUUUUGCUGUCACUUAUAGAUGGAUCCGCGCCGCAUUAGCUAGUUGGUAAGGUAACGGCUUACCAAGGCAACGAUGCGUAGCCGACCUGAGAGGGUGAUCGGCCUCACUGGAACUGAGACACGGUCCAGACUCCUACGGGAGGCAGCAGUAGGGAAUCUUCCGCAAUGGGCGAAAGCCUGACGGAGCGACGCCGCGUGAGUGAUGAAGGUCUUCGGAUCGUAAAACUCUGUUAUUAGGGAAGAACAAAUGUGUAAGUAACUAUGCACGUCUUGACGGUACCUAAUCAGAAAGCCACGGCUAACUACGUG
rnacentral:rRNA from 1 species